UACGUAGGGUGCAAGCGUUAAUCGGAAUUACUGGGCGUAAAGCGUGCGCAGGCGGUUGUGCAAGACAGGUGUGAAAUCCCCGGGCUUAACCUGGGAAUGGCAUUUGGGACUGCGAGGCUCGAGUGCGGCAGAGGAGACUGGAAUUCCUGGUGUAGCAGUGAAAUGCGUAGAUAUCAGGAGGAACACCGAUGGCGAAGGCAGGUCUCUGGGCUGACACUGACGCUCAUGCACGAAAGCGUGGGGAGCAAACAGG
rnacentral:rRNA from 1 species